CCUACGGGAGGCUGCAGUGGGGAAUAUUGCACAAUGGGGGAAACCCUGAUGCAGCGACGCCGCGUGAGUGAAGAAGUAAUUCGUUAUGUAAAACUCUAUCAGCAGGGAAGAAAAUGACGGUACCUGCGUAAGAAGCCCCGGCUAACUACGUGCCAGCAGCCGCGGUAAUACGUAGGGUGCAAGCGUUAUCCGGAUUUACUGGGUGUAAAGGGAGCGUAGACGGCAGUGCAAGUCUGGAGUGAAAGGCAGGGGCUCAACCCCCGUACUGCUCUGGAUACUGUACGGCUGGAGUGCAGGAGAGGUAAGUGGAAUUCCUGGUGUAGCGGUGAAGUGCGUAGAUAUUAGGAGGAACACCAGUGGCGAAGGCGGCUUACUGGGCUGUAACUGACGUUGAGGCUCGAAAGCGAGGGGAGCAAACAGGAUUAGAUACCCCAGUAGUC
rnacentral:rRNA from 1 species